UAACUCUGUGGUCUUGUUUUUAUAAAAUAUAGGAUACAUAUCUCUAACUUCUAAAAAAGUGCAUUUGUUGAGUAUUUGAAUUGUCUUCGCUACUAGUUGUUUGUAAUACGUGUUCAAAUGAGUCUAUUGUAGCGUUACUUUCGUGUUAAGGUGUACUUUUGAAGUUUUUGCUGACAGCAACAGUUGCAGUGUCGUUAGCUUGUCAGAGGGUUGGCGAGUUAGCAUUAGCCUCCUGGAGGAUGGUGAUGGAUGAAUGGAGGAUGGAUGGAUGGACGAUGGUGAUGACAUGCGUGCGGGCUCUCUGGUGGCUGCAGAUCCUCGGCCAGGCGGAGGACUGUCGGACCUCCAGGAUGAAAGUCUGCGCCCUCCACUUCUUCUCGGAGUGCUUCACCAACUGCACCCAGCCCACAUGGGCUUUGCUGUUUGGCUUCACCUGACCGACGAUCCCGCUUCAGACUCCACCAGAGGGUCGGCAGAUAACUGUUCACCUUGAGGUCCAGGACAUGUGACACAUGUCACUAAUGUGACACAUUUACUUCAGGUAGAUACGACCCAUGCUCGUAUCCUGAUGAUGACUCAAACAACUAUGAUAUUGAGGCUGAGAGCGCCACAGCUGCUGGCAGCCCAGAGUCAUAUCAAGAGCCUCUGGAGUCUGAGCCGGAGCAGGCGUCCAUGGAGUCGGAGUCACAAGAGCAGUCUGUGGAAUCAGAGACCGUGACAAUAAAGGCAGAGCAAGAAGAGUAUGAGGAAGCUCUGCGCUAAAUCGUGGCACCAGAAGGCUCAUCUGUGCAGCCUGACAGACAUUCAGGAGCCUUGGCUGUUCAUGACUGUGCCAUCGGAUGGAUGAUGAGCGCUCAUGUGAAAGAUGGCUUUCCCCUGUAACCCAAACAGCAGGCAUUCACAGCGAUGAAGUGUUCUUCUAACCAGAGCACGUAGAAAAAUCCAACGAGCCAGAAUGCAUCACGACAAGUCAUGUGAGGACACCUGGCCACAGGAGCCAUUUCGCUCAGACUUGCAGAGUAAGCCUUACCGCUCCAGAGUUCCUUUGGGACUGGACCGAGACCACCUCCUGUCAAGGGUCCAUUUUGACUGAACCAAACAGGUCAGGUGUGAAAGCAUUCCUAAAAGAAGUUAUGAGUUUAUGUCUUUCUGUUCACAGCCCUUUAUCAUCUGGACAAGGUGACUAAAUAUGAUUUGGCUGAUAAGACAACGGAGGCUGUUUGCCAGACAUGUUAAUGUACAAUCAGGGCUUUCCUGUUCCUGUCAGACGUUAGCUCACACACUGAUGUAUUUAUCAGUGUAAUUUUGGUGUCUUUAUUAUAUAAUUAAAUAAGACAUGAAUUUAUCUGUUUACUUUUAGUGAACCAAUACUUGCACUAUUACUUGAAUUGAGUGUUUUGUUUUUCAAGGCAGACAGUGCUUUUGAAAACAGGGAAAGAAUCAUUUUGAUGAAUAAAGCCAUGUUUUUGACCAUUUUUGUUUCACUUUUAAAAUUUAAGGGUCCCACUUCAACAACAAACAAUAAAAGCCUACACACAGGAGAAAAGCAGCAUGAAACAAGAGCUAAUAAAACAAAUGUGGUGUCUGUCCACGCGGUAACAGAAAGACGGCCUGUUUCCAGUCCAGGUCCAUCCACAACCGGCCUCUGAUUUGGCCUCAGUCCAAGUGAAAGUCUCCAGUGCAAGUGUCCAUCCUGAGGGUUUCCAGCCCAGCCCUCUUCACCCUGUUCACUCACGACCGUGCUGCCAUCCACCCCACCA